rnacentral:rRNA from 1 species
GACGAACGCUGGCGGCGUGCCUAACACAUGCAAGUAGAACGGAAAGGCUAUACCGUAGCUUGCUACACGAUAGGCUGUGAGGUGCGAACGAGGGAGGUACGCGUAGGUAACCUGUCGGGUAGCGGGAGGUAACUAGUGGUAACGAUAGCUAAUACCGCAUAAUAUUAAUUAGUGCAUGGAAAUUAAUGGAAAGGUGGAAUUGCACCACUGCUAGAUGGACCGGCGUUGUAUUAGCUAGUAGGUGAGGUAACGGCUGAUCUAGGCGACGAUACAGAGCCGAACUGCGAGGGUGGUCGGCCACCCUGGGACGGAGACACGGCCCAGUGUCCUACGGGAGGCAGCCAGAGGGAAUCUUCGGGCAUGGGCGGAAGUCUGUCCGCACAACGCCGCGGGCGUGAAGAAGGGUGUCGGGUCGUAAAUGUCUGUUGUAGGGGAAGAAAGGGUGUGCGCGUGGAAAGUUCCCUCUGUGACGGUAUCUUACCAGAAAGCACCGGCUAACUACGUG